rnacentral:rRNA from 1 species
AAUAUUGGACAAUGGGCGAAAGCCUGAUCCAGCCCUGCCGCGUGUGUGAAGAAGGUCUUCGGAUCGUAAAGCACUUCACUUUGGGAGGAAGAGCUGUAGGCUAAUACCUUGCAAUUUUGACGUUACCAACAGAAUAAGCACCGGCUAACCUCGUGCCAUCUGCCGCGGUAAUACGAAGGGUGCAAGCGUUAAUCGGAAUUACUGGGCGUAAAGCGCGCGUAGGUGGUUCGUUAAGUUGGAAGUGAAAGCCCCGGGCUUAACCUGGGAAUUGCUUUCAAAACUGACGAGCUAGAGUACGGUAGAGGGUAGUAGAAUUUCCUGUGUAGCGGUGAAAUGCGUAGAUAUAGGAAGGAACAUCAGUGGCGAAGGCGACUACCUGGACUGAUACUGACACUGAGGUGCGAAAGCGUGGGGAGCAAACAGG